rnacentral:rRNA from 1 species
AUUGAACGCUGGCGGCAUGCCUUACACAUGCAAGUCGAACGGCAGCACGGGAGCAAUCCUGGUGGCGAGUGGCGAACGGGUGAGUAAUGUAUCGGAACGUACCUUUCAGUGGGGGAUAACGUAGCGAAAGUUACGCUAAUACCGCAUAUUCUGUGAGCAGGAAAGCAGGGGAUCGCAAGACCUUGCGCUGAUUGAGCGGCCGAUAUCAGAUUAGCUAGUUGGUGAGGUAAAGGCUCACCAAGGCGACGAUCUGUAGCGGGUCUGAGAGGAUGAUCCGCCACACUGGAACUGAGACACGGUCCAGACUCCUACGGGAGGCAGCAGUGGGGAAUUUUGGACAAUGGGCGGCAAGCCUGAUCCAGCCAUGCCGCGUGAGUGAAG